GUGAACGCUGGCGGCAGGCCUAACACCUGCAAGUCGAGCGGCAGCGCGGGGGCAACCCUGGCGGCGAGCGGCGGACGGGUGAGGAAUUCGUCGGAAUCUGCCUUUUUGUGGGGGAUAACGUAGGGAAACUUACGCUAAUACCGCAUACGUCCUACGGGAGAAAGUGGGGGACCGCAAGGCCUCACGCAGAAAGAUGAGCCGACGACCGAUUAGCUAGUUGGUGGGGUAAAGGCCCACCAAGGCGACGAUCGGUAGCUGGUCUGAGAGGAUGAUCAGCCACACUGGGACUGAGACACGGCCCAGACUCCUACGGGAGGCAGCAGUGGGGAAUAUUGGACAAUGGACGCAAGCCUGAUCCAGCCAUGCCGCGUGUGUGAAGAAGGCCUUCGGGUUGUAAAGCACUUUUGUCCGGAAAGAAAUCCCUGGAGCUAAUACCUUCGGGGGAUGACGGUACCGGAAGAAUAAGCACCGGCUAACUUCGUG
rnacentral:rRNA from 1 species